GCACACCACGUGACAUGUUCGCGCAUGCGCUUCUCCUACCUGGGGGGUCCUGCGCCUAGAAAGGGAGUUCCCAGCAGAUCUUUUCUGCGCUGGGGGCGCUCACCCGGAUUUUAUAAGUCCCGUGGUGCAAGAGACCAUUUUCCUCUGGCAGAAAUAUAGGAAGAUCGUGCCGCUGUCCUCGUGGACCCUCUCCACGCCCGUUUCUCAGUCAGCUGAGCUCUGGGGAGCACAUCGUCUUCCUUGAUCCUCCUGUCCAUCUUGUGGCCAGGACAGGCCCCUCUUCAACUUGUGCAGAGGGUCUUUCUCCCCGCGCCUCUCGUUUUUCUUCAGUUCCUCAGAUCUGCAUUUUGCAGGCCAAGCUUCUCUCCAGGGGGAGCACUCAGGACAACGUGAAAAUGGCUGUGAGACCCAGGAAAAUUAGAAAAAAGUGUCCAGUGAAUUGAAUCGCCAUCUACAUGGUUGUUCACGGACGGAGCUGGAGAAUCCUACUUGAUACGCAGCCUUGUGUGCUGGAUCCACGCUCCACCCUCCUUUACUUGCCGUCUCCCCCAGCAGAUGGUUUGAGUAGAGAAAGUCAAGAGCAAUUAAUUGAGUCAAGAGGCCCCUGUGUUCUCUGGCUUCCUGGUUGAGUUUGGUCCUCCUCCUAACUUGAGACAGCAUCUGCCAGCCGUAUGACUUUUGAUGCAGAGCCCUGAAAGCAGGACCAUCUCUCAUCAGAAAUCUGCCACCCCUGGUCCUGCCAUGCUGAAAGGCUUGGAAGCUUCUCGGAACAGCUCAUUCUCAAGGUGUUUCUCAGAAUCAGAGAAGCUCUCCUGCGGGUCUGACCAGUGACCAGAGAAAUACUCAGAGACCGCAGAAGCCUGCCUCACUAUGCAAAGGAGAGAAGAAAACAAAAAGGGAGAGAAGGAACAGCCUCAUAUUUGCCAAACCCAGCUGCUCUUAAAAACCUCAAUGCCUGUGCUUAUUCACCACUUAGACAUGUUUCUGAACUCAGACUCCUUCCUUCUCUCUCGAAAUCUAAAACAUUUCCCUGCCAAGGCCACGAAACCCCAUUCUCAGAUAUUUUUUUUAUACUGCAAGGA
ensembl:lncRNA